rnacentral:rRNA from 1 species
UGGGGAAUAUUGGACAAUGGGCGCAAGCCUGAUCCAGCCAUGCCGCGUGAGUGAUGAAGGCCCUAGGGUUGUAAAGCUCUUUCACCGGUGAAGAUAAUGACGGUAACCGGAGAAGAAGCCCCGGCUAACUUCGUGCCAGCAGCCGCGGUAAUACGAAGGGGGCUAGCGUUGUUCGGAUUUACUGGGCGUAAAGCGCACGUAGGCGGACUUUUAAGUCAGGGGUGAAAUCCCGGGGCUCAACCCCGGAACUGCCUUUGAUACUAGAAGUCUUGAGUAUGGUAGAGGUGAGUGGAAUUCCGAGUGUAGAGGUGAAAUUCGUAGAUAUUCGGGGGAAAACCAGUGGCGAAGGCGGCUCACUGGACCAUUACUGACGCUGAGGUGCGAAAGCGUGGGGAGCAAACAGG